rnacentral:rRNA from 1 species
UGGGGAAUAUUGGGCAAUGGAUGAAAGUCUGACCCAGCGACGCCGCGUGAAUGAAGAAGGUCUUCGGAUUGUAAAGUUCUUUUAUACGGGAAGAGUAGAUGACGGUACCGUAUGAAUAAGUCCCGGCUAACUACGUGCCAGCAGCCGCGGUAAUACGUAGGGGACGAGCGUUGUCCGGAAUUACUGGGCGUAAAGGGCAUGUAGGCUGUUUUUCAAGUCAGCAGUAAAAGAGAGACGCUUAACGUUUCUAAGCUGUUGAGACUGAGAGACUGGAGUACUGAAGAGGCAAGGGGAAUUCCCAGUGUAGCGGUGAAAUGCGUAGAUAUUGGGAAGAACACCGGUGGCGAAGGCGACUUGCUGGUCAGAGACUGACGCUGAGGUGCGAAAGCCAGGGGAGCAAACG